CCCUCACUUUCGAUCAGUUGUUGCUCCACGAGAUAAACGUUGGACGCAAGACAUGGGUUCCUGUGUUGCAUACCUAUUGCGACGGAAAUGUGUGCCUUCGAUCGUCCCUUCCAUCACGGCGUCCUCACGGAUGCUCGGUUGGACCGGAUAGUGGGGCUCGUGUUCCACGAACGUCGUCUCAUUCGAUCGUUCGGAUGGACCACGGGUGCCCRCUCGUUCUCUCGGAUGCGGAACUCUMUUAAUGGGCGUGGGGUCAUUGGCCCUUGGUCCCUAAUCGUUAAGCGUUUAUCGCUUCACCGGAAUGACGAUCUCGCCUUGUCCUUGACCACGCGAAGCCCUCGGGCAUMGCGACGGAUCAUGCUCGGCGGACGUCGUGAAGGAAUGC
rnacentral:misc_RNA from 1 species